UGCUUUAAGAAAAGAGUGAUGCUGGCC
rnacentral:piRNA from 1 species